rnacentral:rRNA from 1 species
AAUGGAGAGUUUGAUCCUGGCUCAGGACGAACGCUGGCGGCGUGCUUAACACAUGCAAGUCAAGGAGAACGUUCCCUUCGGGGAAUUAUUAAACUGGCGAACGGGUGAGUAACUCGUAGGCAACCUGCCUUGGAGAUUGGGAUAACCCCGGGAAACCGGGACUAAUACCGAAUAAUGCAGCGACUUCUUCGGAAGAUGCUGUUAAAGCGGGCUUCGGCUCGCACUUCAAGAUGGGCCUGCGCCCGAUUAGCUAGUUGGUAAGGUAACGGCUUACCAAGGCUAUGAUCGGUAGCUGGUCUGAGAGGAUGAUCAGCCACACUGGGAUUGAGAUACGGCCCAGACUCCUACGGGAGGCAGCAGUGGGGAAUUUUGCGCAAUGGACGAAAGUCUGACGCAGCAACGCCGCGUGAUUGAUGAAGCUU